GACAGAGGGUGCAAACGUUGUUCGGAAUUACUGGGCGUAAAGCGCAUGUAGGCGGCCGUGUAGGUCGGGUGUGAAAUCCCUCGGCUCAACCGAGGACGUGCACUCGAAACCACACGGCUCGAGUCCCGGAGAGGGUGGUGGAAUUCUCGGCGUAGAGGUGAAAUUCGUAGAUUUCGGGAGGAACACCGGCGGCGAAAGCGGCCACCUGGACGAGGACUGACGCUGAGAUGCGAAAGCGUGGGGAGCAAACAGG
rnacentral:rRNA from 1 species